rnacentral:rRNA from 1 species
GUAGGGGGCAAGCGUUAUCCGGAUUUACUGGGUGUAAAGGGAGCGUAGACGGCAUGGCAAGCCAGAUGUGAAAGCCCGGGGCUCAACCCCGGGACUGCAUUUGGAACUGUCAGGCUAGAGUGUCGGAGAGGAAAGCGGAAUUCCUAGUGUAGCGGUGAAAUGCGUAGAUAUCACGAAGAACUCCNAUUGCGAAGGCNGCCUGCUNAACUNCAACUGACAUUGAGGCUCGAAAGNGUGGGUAUCAAACAGGAUUAGAUACCCUGGUAGUCCACACGGUAAACGAUGAAUACUCGCUGUUUGCGAUAUACGGCAUGCGGCCCAGCGANAGCGUUAANUAUUCCNCCUGNNGAGU